ACGGGUGAGUAACACGUGGGAACGUACCCUUUGGUUCGGAAUAACGCUGGGAAACUAGCGCUAAUACCGGAUACGCCCUUUUGGGGAAAGGCUUGCUGCCGAAGGAUCGGCCCGCGUCUGAUUAGCUAGUUGGUGGGGUAAUGGCCUACCAAGGCGACGAUCAGUAGCUGGUCUGAGAGGAUGAUCAGCCACACUGGGACUGAGACACGGCCCAGACUCCUACGGGAGGCAGCAGUGGGGAAUAUUGGACAAUGGGCGCAAGCCUGAUCCAGCCAUGCCGCGUGAGUGAUGAAGGCCUUAGGGUUGUAGAGCUCUUUUGUCCGGGACGAUAAUGACGGUACCGGAAGAAUAAGCCCCGGCUAACUUCGUGCCAGCAGCCGCGGUAAUACGAAGGGGGCUAGCGUUGCUCGGAAUCACUGGGCGUAAAGGGCGCGUAGGCGGCCAUUCAAGUCGGGGGUGAAAGCCUGUGGCUCAACCACAGAAUUGCCUUCGAUACUGUUUGGCUUGAGUAUGGUAGAGGUCGGUGGAACUGCGAGUGUAGAGGUGAAAUUCGUAGA
rnacentral:rRNA from 1 species